GACGAACGCUGGCGGCGUGCUUAACACAUGCAAGUCGAGCGGUAAGGCCCUUUCGGGGGUACACGAGCGGCGAACGGGUGAGUAACACGUGGGUGACCUGCCCUCAGCUCUGGGAUAAGCCUGGGAAACCGGGUCUAAUACUGGAUAUGACUCCAUGACGCAUGUUGUGGGGUGGAAAGCCUUGUGCGGCUGAGGAUGGGCCCCGCGGCCUAUCAGCUUGUUGGGGGGUGAUGGCCUACCAAGGCGACGACGGGUAGCCGGCCUGAGAGGGCGACCGGCCACACUGGGACUGAGACACGGCCCAGACUCCUACGGGAGGCAGCAGUGGGGAAUCUUGCGCAAUGGGCGAAAGCCUGACGCAGCGACGCCGCGUGAGGGAUGACGG
rnacentral:rRNA from 1 species